UUGAACGCUGGCGGAAUGCUUUACACAUGCAAGUCGAGCGGCAGCGCGGGGCAACCUGGCGGCGAGCGGCGAACGGGUGAGUAAUGCAUCGGAACAUGUCCAUUUGUGGGGGAUAGCCCGGCGAAAGCCGGAUUAAUACCGCAUACGCCCUGAGGGGGAAAGCGGGGGACUUCGCAAGAGGCCUCGCGCGAAUGGGUUGGCCGAUGUCCGAUUAGCUAGUUGGUGAGGUAAAGGCUCACCAAGGCGAUGAUCGGUAGCUGGUCUGAGAGGAUGAUCAGCCACACUGGGACUGAGACACGGCCCAGACUCCUACGGGAGGCAGCAGUGGGAAUUUUGACAAUGGGGCAACCCUGAUCCAGCCAUUCCGCGUGAGUGAAGAAGCC
rnacentral:rRNA from 1 species